UACAGAGGGUGCGAGCGUUAAUCGGAAUUACUGGGCGUAAAGCGCGCGUAGGCGGCUUUGCAAGUCGGGUGUGAAAGCCCGAGGCUCAACCUCGGAACUGCCUUCGAUACUGCGGGUCUCGAGUCCGGGAGAGGUGAGUGGAAUUCCUAGUGUAGAGGUGAAAUUCGUAGAUAUUAGGAAGAACACCAGUGGCGAAGGCGGCUCACUGGCCCGGUACUGACGCUGAGGCGCGAAAGCGUGGGGAGCAAACAGG
rnacentral:rRNA from 1 species